AGCUUUUGGUGGGCAUGCUAAUAAUUCAUUGGCAACCCAGAUGAAUUUAUCAACAUUUUUAUUAGAUCCUCUUCUCUCCUGUGGAGAUGCAUUUUAUUAUUCAAAUUGUAUGUGUAAAACCAUAGCAUUUUGAUUAAAACACUUAGAACCAGGACAUCUAAACAAUUCAUGGGUGAACAUCUAAAAAAGGUGGAUAAUACCAGAUGCAUUGGCUCAUGGAAGCUUCCAAGUCCCUGACUCAUUCUGCCUCUCAGAGGGCUAUUGUUUUUUUCCCUCUGUGCUCAUUGGGAAACACUUCUGUCACACAUGUAGAAGGCUACAAACGCCCCUUUUUUAUGUAAGACUUCAGUUUUGUGUGACCACAGCGUUGUGCCUGCACUGUGCACUCCAAACACCUGGAUUAUCACAUGGAUGGAUGAAGGGUGUUUAUCUGCAUUUGCUUUCAUACCUUCACAUUACUUAUAGUUUUAUAGUUUAAGUGUCUGUACUAUUUGCUUGAGCAAAGCAGAAAGUAAAUAAGUCAGUUGGGUGUAUUGAACAUUUAUUGGGAUAUGAAAGAACCAGAACUACAGAAAUGCACAAGAACAUACUUUACUCAUUCAUCCCAUUAGCUAAACAGUUGGAGCAGACUAUUCACUUUUAAACCUCACUGGAAGCUGAUUGGUUGACACCAGCAGCACAUUCACCUCCAGUUUCAACACUGCAAAACUUGCUCAACCGCUGUAGACUCUAAAUCAUCUUAACAAUGGCUCCCUUAACACAGUUGCUUUGAGCAUAUACUUUAUGUACAUGAAUAGAGAUACUUUGAGAUUUUACUAUAGCCCUUAAAGGGAGAUUAUGUAACUUUUUGAGGUAAAUACAAAAUUACAAAUACAAAAUCUAAUUCAUAAGCAAUAGGACACUAUUGUUCAAUUCAAUACACUCAGGGGUUCUGCUGCUACAGCUUUACCUGGUCUGAUAUGACGACUAGCUUACGGUGGUUAAUGCAGCUAAUGUUAUUUGCUAAUUAGCCAAACAUCUUGUAAUGUAGUGACCCUGUUUUCAAC